rnacentral:lncRNA from 1 species
CAGAUCAGCCUGCUGGCCCUCCCACAUCUGCACCUCCCUGAGGCUCUCCAGCCCUGCUCAGGUUAGGCCACCCAGUGCUGCCAUCAGCAGGAGGCAGGGUCAGCUUUCCUACUGCCAUGCCCUCAGAGCCAGCUCCAUGGUGCCAUCCAGGCAAGCGCGAGGCCCACUCUCCCAAGGGCUGGGACAGCUGUCCAGCUCAUACCCAUCAGGACAGCUCCACUGUGCUGCUCUGGCAAGGCAAGACCAGCUCUUCUGCUCUCAUGGCCUCGAGGACAGCUCUCCCAACUACUGCAGGUAUAUCUUUGCGAAGAAUCUGUUUGAAAAUGGCUCCCUCAGUGACGUCGAAUGGCACAUCUAUCAGGACUGGCACUCCUUCCUCCUGCAGGAGUUUGAAGACCGGCUUUUGUUACAUGGCUUCAUCUACCUCCAGGCUUCUCCCCAGGUUUGCAUGGAAAGACUGUGUCAGAGGGGCAGAGAAGAAGAGAAAGGGAUUGAGUUGGCCUAUCUUAAACAGCUACAUGGGCAACAUGAAGACUGGUUUAUUAACAAGACUACCAAGCUCCACUUCGAGGCUCUGCGGCAUGUGCCGGUGCUGGUGUUGAACAUCAGUGAGGAUUUCUCUGAAAAUGCCGCCAAACAAGAAGAGCUCAUGGGGCAGGUGAGCAGAGCCUGGCUUCUCCUGGUUCCCAGUGCAGAGCUCUCGUCUUCCUGGUCUCUGUGUCAGGCCUUGUUACUUUGUACU